UUCUACUUUCUAUCUUUUAUUCUGCUUGUUUUUCUCAGUAGUUUGGGCACUCAAGAUUGUGUUUUUCUUUGGUUUUUAUGAUUACUGUCAUAUGCUUUUCUGAAUUCAAUUUGCUCAUCCAAGAAUAAGAAGAAGAAUUAUUGAAAUUUGAAAGAUACCCAGUCUAUGGUGUUCAUGUCUGCACCUACCAUGGCUCACAAGGAAACAGUGAAACUUCUCUGACCAAAUUGCACUAUGUGCCAUAAUCUACACCACUGGUUUUUAGCUCAAGAAAAUCUCCACCUUUCACUUAAUACUGCUUAAAGCUGCAAUUUUGCUCCAUUCAUGCCUUCACUGCCCACAUUUACCUUUCUUUCUUUCUUUCUUUCUUUCUUUUUGGCUUGAGUAGGAAACCGUAGUCACUAUCCGAGAACGUGCACAGGUAAAUCCCGCCUUGUAAGGACCCAAGAGGUAAUCCGACUUUGGUUGCCCAUAGCUUAUCGGUUCAACCCAAGAAUACCAAUAUAUAUGCUAUUCCCACUAGUAGCUGACUUUGUGGUUAUCAAGCCAAUAACCCGACUAACUUGGUUGGGUUGCCCCUUUGUUAUUAAGUACAAUUGCCAGUAUAGAUGAACAAAUACUACAAUGUAAUAGAGUCAGUAGUACUAAAAAAAAAAGUAUAGUUGCCAGUAAGAUGGAAAAUCUAUGGGGACAGAAAGUAAAUACAAAGUAUCUGAGGAACAAUCUUUCUAAGCACUAUGAUGGAGUCUUUAAAGGAUGUUUGUGUGCUUGAAAGUUGUGAUCUUUGAUCUUUGAUUUGUUUAUAUCUACUGCCAUGUGGUUUGGGAUUUUUUUAUCAAAUUGGAAGUAAAAGGAAGAAAGGUAUGAAAUGUGCUAAGGAUAUAGGAUUUCAACUUUCUUCAAUUUUAGUAAUAGACAAAUGGUGUGUUACACUAGGGAGACUUUAGGCUACAUUUACUUCAGUUUUUCUAGUUUUCGGUUAUCUAUUCUCUGUUUUUCGAAUUGGGUAAAUGUACAGGUUAGCGUGUUCUUUGUUAUAUUCUUUCCUUGAUAGAAGAAGGAUAACACUAGCUUGAAAAUUGGAGAGGCUGUUUAGUGCUUUGUGAGGGAUAAGAAAAAGACGGGGUGGAUUACAAAUGUUAGAAGAGUGAAAAUACUAAGAAUGGCUGGCAAUCCCAACCGAGUUGGUCGAACAGUUAGCUUGGUUAAGAUACUGAUUCUCCAACUUAUAGGUCGAAAUUGUGUAAAGUUAUUGAUCAAGCUCAACCAUGAAAGCUUCAAUCUAUGGUUUGAUGUUUCUGUAAGUUAUAAUGCCAUUUGCACUUCUUGCUGUAAGUUAGGCAUAUAUGCAACCUGAAAAGACUAAAUUUUUUCCUGUUUUCUGAGGCAAACAGUCUUGAAUAGGUAGAGGUAAGCCUUUUUUUUUUUGGGUGACUGAGAAAAACUUGCAGUUACUAUUCGAGGGUGUGCACUGAGUAAACCUCGUCUUGUGUAGCGAGUUUUAUAUGGUAGCCUGUUAGCAUUUCAUUUCCCUUUCUUGUUAAGACGCCUAAUUAACCAUUUGCAGAAGCAGCAUUGUCCAUCUUUGGUUGGAGACAUCACUAAAUUUCUCAAAAACUAGAAACCUUAAAAACAUGAUCGAGAAAAUGGCAAAAGAUCGGAGCAACCCUAGCCAAGCUGGUCAACCAGUUGUUAACCACAACGUUACGUUUCAAGUUCAACUCCCGGUGAAAGCUGCUUGUUGGCCGUUUAGGCCAUUUACCCCUUUGUGAUCCUUUGCUGGUUAAGGCCAUAAGGCUUUCACAUUCUGUCUCAGAUCCUCAAAACUCCAAUCCCUCCUCAUCCCACUGCUCCUGACCAGCCGAGGCGUCUCGCACUCCACCGGCCCGCUGUGCCUGCGCUGUGACACUCGGCCGCCCUCUGCCUUCUGCCGCCCGGGAUUUGACGUGGCGGCGCCGUUGUUGUUCCCAGGGGCCGGCCAGCUGGGAACCAAGUUCCCCGACCAGCUCCUGUCGUGAUGCCGCCUCAAGCUCCGGCCAUUCCUGGCCUUCGAUCCGCCCACGAUAAUGGCGGCCUCAAUUCCGCCCCUCAGCGAGUUCGAUCUGUGGCACGUCAGGCAAUUCAGACUCAUAAUGGUGAUGAUGAAUGGAUCAAUGAUAUGAUAAUGGUUAUGGAAUAUGAUGAAGAUGAUAUAUAGAUACUAGAUAUAGGUUAUCCGUGGGGGGCGGAAAGAUUUUAGUUUUGUUUGUGGGCUUUAAGGUUUUGAGGAUACAUAUUUACUUACUAGUAUAAAUAGGUUGUAGCAUGCAUGGAGAGGAGGAGGUGACAAAACUGGCUUCAUUGUAUGUAUUAUAUAUACGUAUAGAGAGAUAGACAGACAGAGAGAGAGAGAGAGCUAUUUUGAUGGAGGAAAGACAGUCUUACGUUAAUGGCCAUUGUUUUUCAAGUUUC